GUUUCAGCCGCCGCGGUAAUACGGAAGGUCCGGGCGUUAUCCGGAUUUAUUGGGUUUAAAGGGAGCGUAGGCCGGAGAUUAAGCGUGUUGUGAAAUGUAGAUGCUCAACAUCUGCACUGCAGCGCGAACUGGUUUCCUUGAGUACGCACAAAGUGGGCGGAAUUCGUGGUGUAGCGGUGAAAUGCUUAGAUAUCACGAAGAACUCCGAUUGCGAAGGCAGCUCACUGGAGCGCAACUGACGCUGAAGCUCGAAAGUGCGGGUAUCGAACAGGAUUAGAUACCCUGAUAGUCCGCACGGUAAACGAUGGAUGCCCGCUGUUGGUCUGAAUAGGUCAGCGGCCAAGCGAAAGCAUUAAGCAUCCCACCUGGGGAGUACGCCGGCAACGGUGAAACUCAAAGGAAUUGACGGGGGCCCGCACAAGCGGAGGAACAUGUGGUUUAAUUCGAUGAUACGCGAGGAACCUUACCCGGGCUUGAAUUGCAGAGGAAGGAUUUGGAGACAAUGACGCCCUUCGGGGUCUCUGUGAAGGUGCUGCAUGGUUGUCGUCAGCUCGUGCCGUGAGGUGUCGGCUUAAGUGCCAUAACGAGCGCAACCCCUCUCCUUAGUUGCCAUCAGGUCAGGCUGGGCACUCUGGGGACACUGCCACCGUAAGGUGUGAGGAAGGUGGGGAUGACGUCAAAUCAGCACGGCCCUUACGUCCGGGGCUACACACGUGUUACAAUGGCAGGUACAGAGAGAUGGUGUUCUGCAAAGCGCAUCUAAUCCUUAAAGCCUGUCUCAGUUCGGACUGGGGUCUGCAACCCGACCCCACGAAGCUGGAUUCGCUAGUAAUCGCGCAUCAGCCAUGCCGCGGUGAAUACGUUCCCGGGCCUUGUACACACCGCCCGUCAAAC
rnacentral:rRNA from 1 species